rnacentral:rRNA from 1 species
GCAGUCGAACGAGAAAGCUUCCUUCGGGAAGUAAGUAGAGUGGCGCACGGGCUGAGUAACGCGUAGGUAAUCUACCCUUAUAACUGGGAUAACAUUGGGAAACUGGUGCUAAUACCGGAUACACUUCUUUACUGCGGGGUAAAGGAGGAAAGGUGGCCUCUUCAUGAAAGCUACCGUAUAGGGAUGAGCCUGCGUACCAUUAGCUAGUAGGCGGGGUAACGGCCCACCUAGGCAACGAUGGUUAGCGGGUCUGAGAGGAUGAUCCGCCACACUGGAACUGGAACACGGACCAGACUCCUACGGGAGGCAGCAGUGAGGAAUAUUGCGCAAUGGGGGAAACCCUGACGCAGCGACGCCGCGUGAGUGAGGAAGGUUUUCGGAUCGUAAAGCUCUGUCAGAAGGGAAGAAGUGUUAUAUGUUUAAUACGCAUAUAAUUUGACGGUACCUUCAGAGGAAGCACCGGCUAACUCCGUGCCAGCAGCCGCGGUAAUACGGAGGGUGCAAGCGUUGUUCGGAAUUACUGGGCGUAAAGGGCGCGUAGGCGGCUGGAUAAGUCAGAUGUGAAAGUCCAUGGCUCAACUGUGGAAGUGCAUUUGAAACUGUCCGGCUUGAGUAUCGGAGGGGAGUGUGGAAUUCCCGGUGUAGAGGUGAAAUUCGUAGAGAUCGGGAGGAACACCGGUGGCGAAGGCGACACUCUGGACGAAUACUGACGCUGAGGCGCGAAAGCGUGGGGAGCAAACAGGAUUUAGAUACCCUGGUAGUCCACGCCGUAAACGAUGUGAACUAGGGAUAGGGGGUGUUGAUCCCUCCUGUCCCGCAGCUAACGCAUU